rnacentral:rRNA from 1 species
GGGAUAGAAUUCCAGGAGUAGCGGUGAAAUGCGUAGAUAUCUGGAGGAAUACCAAAGGCGAAGGCAGUCCCCUGGUCCGAUACUGACACUGAGGUACGAAAGCGUGGGGAGCAAACAGGAUUAGAUACCCUGGUAGUCCACGCCCUAAACGAUGUCGAUUAGCCAUUGGAAGGACCCCUUUUCCUUUCAGUGACGUAGCUAACGCGCUAAAUCGACCGCCUGGGAAGUACGACCGCAAGGUUAAAACUCAAAGGAAUUGACGGGGACCUGAACAAGCGGUGAAUGAUGUGGAUUAAUUCGAUGCUACGCGAAGAACCUUACCUACCUUUGACAUGGCCAAAGUUCUACCGAGAGGCGGAAGUACUCGUAAGAGGAUUGGCGCACAGGUGCUGCAUGGUUGUCGUCAGUUCGUGUCGUGAGAUGUUGGGUUCAGUCCCGCAACGAACGCAACCCUUAUCUUUAAUUGCUCCUAUUUUAACAGGCACUUUAAAGAAACUGCCAAUGAUAAGUUGGAGGAAGGUGGGGAUCACGUCAAGUCCGCAUGGCCUUUAUAGGUAGGGCUUCACACGUCAUACAAUGGUUAGAACAAAGAGCUGCAAAUUCGUAAGAAGGAGCCAAUCUCACAAACCUAACCUCAGUUCGAAUUGCGGUCUGCAACUCGAGCGCAUGAAGCCGGAAUCGCUAGUAAUCGUGGAUCAGAAUGCCGCGGUGAAUACGUUCUUAGGUCUU